CAUUCUCCGAGGCAAAGCAAGAGAAGAGUCUCCUUUUUCAUCAUCCCCUGAGAGAAAAGAAGAAAAUCAAAAACUUUACCGGCCAUGGAUCCCGACGAUCCCACUUCCAUAAUCUUCAAAAAGAUCAGAACUUUAGAACCAGACAACGCCCCCAAACUCAUUGGCUACUUUCUAUUGCAAGACAUGGAACAAACCGAUUUGAUUCGUCUUGCUUUUGGUCCCGACACUCUCUUACAGACUUUCUGUCGUCAAGCCAAAUCCGUUUUAGGUCUUUCCUCAAACGGAAACCAUAUCUCGAGACCCCAUCACCACCAGCUAUUGUCUCAGUCUUCUCCAAGUAAUGGGUUCUUCGACUUCUCUAGAAACCCUAACCCUAACUUCGAUUCUAGCCCAUUUCGUGACGGCGAGGAGCAACAGUUAAGCAAUCGCUUGUCGUUUCCCGACGAAGAGGAUCCGUUUGCUAGUUUGCACAAGAGGAGUUUCUCUGCAGACGGCGAACCAGAGGAACCAGGGUUUGGAGUUGGAGGAGGAGGAGCCGGUUAUCGGUUUCCACAGACCGGUUUAGUUGAUGGGUUCGAUUCAUCUGGUGUUGAGAGUGGCUACGUUUGCUUACAGAGAGAGGGGAUGAUGAGGAUGAAGUUAGCUCAGCAACAGAGAAUGGCUCAGCUCAUGGCGCUAAGACAAGGAGAAGAAAGUGGUUACUAUUACAGUCCAAGUAGGCAUGAGAGAGAUGACUCAGUCUCUAGACAGAUCUACUUGACAUUUCCGUCUGAAAGCUCAUUCACUGAUGCAGACGUCUCCUCUUAUUUCAGUGACUUUGGAGCUGUGGAAGAUGUGAGGAUACCAUAUCAGCAGCAAAGGAUGUAUGGGUUUGUUACUUUCUCUAAUGCUGAAACUGUGAGGAUCGUAUUGGCUCGAGGCAACCCUCAUUUCAUCUGUGACUCACGUGUGCUUGUUAAACCGUACAAGGAGAAAGGAAAGAUCCUUCAAAACAAGUGGCAACAGCAGCAACUUCAGCAGCUGUUGGAGAGAGGGAGCUAUUCUGCUUCUUCAAGUCCUUCUGAAAUGGAUCUCUAUGAAUGUCACUUGGGUCCAAGGAUGUUUUCAAGGAACACACAAGAGAUGAUGAGAAGGAAAGCUGAUGCACAACAUGCCAUUGAAGUAGAACUCCAAAGAAGAAGGUUCUUGGCUCUGCAAUUGCCUGGGAGGGAGAAUGAGUCUGUUCAUCAUCUCCAGCGUAGUCUUUCUAUCGGCUCUCCUUCUCAUCUCCCACCUCGGUUCAACCAUAGUCUUCUCUUUCAACCAGAAAGCAGCAUGGAAGAAACCACAGAAGGUGAUAGUGAUAGAGGUGAAAGCCAUCUUCAUCUAGUACCAAACAACAACAAAGUAUGCGGAUACAGUAACGAGUUCCACAAGAGGCAAGAGACAAGUCCGGAGAAUACGCUUCCUGAUAGCUUGUUUGGUUUCCCUAUUAAGUCUGAAGAAGCACUCCAAACUGAGUCUGAUACCAAAGCAGAGGAAUGGGCUCACUCACUAUAGGUAGAAAGAAACAAGUGUACUGAUUGAAAGAGAGGUAAAGACUGAUAAAAGAUGGAAGUAGAAAAGAAAUUGUGUAUAUAUACCAAAGCUUAAGAGGGGUUUUUAACAUGGAAACACAAGAGAAAAGGUCAAAAAGAUAUUAUGUAAUCAACAAAAAGCUAUUAUGACUAACCUCAGACAACAUAUGGAGAUCAACACAGUAACUGAAACUCUAAUUAGAUUUUCUUUUAGUUUUUUUGGGUCCUAGUCCUAGUGAUGGGCAAAAGCUGCAUCUGUUAGUUUUUACCAUAAUUGUAUAAAAUACAUGUGUGCUUUCUUGGAACUCACUUUCAAAAAAGGGUCAGUGGCACAAUUCACAAAGCCUUGAGGAUAAAGGUUGAACCUUUAAGACUCUAAUUUGACGCUUUAGCCCAACUUAAC